UGAGUACGAGAUGCUACGGCAUCGAAGCAGUCUAUGUCAUACUUCCAAGAAAAGCUCGCACUGUCAGAAACAAAUUAAUGCCUGUACCAUAACCGACACAGGUGGGUAGGUAGAGUAUACUAAGGGGCGCGAGAUAACUCUCUCUAAGGAACUCGGCAAAAUGACUCCGUAACUUCGGGAGAAGGAGUGCCUUAUUUCUAAGGUUGCAAUAACCAGAUCCAAGCAACUGUUUAUCAAAAACACAGGUCUCCGCUAAGUCGUAAGACGAUGUAUGGGGGCUGACGCCUGCCCAGUGCCAGAAGGUUAAAGAAGUUGGUUAGCCCGCGCAAGCGUAGCGAAGCUGAUAACUGAAGCCCUGGUGAACGGCGGCCGUAACAAUAACGGUCCUAAGGUAGCGAAAUUCCUUGUCGGGUAAGUUCCGGCCCGCACGAAAGGCGUAAUGAUUUGGAUGCUGUCUCGGAGAGGGACUCGGUGAAAUAGACUUGUCUGUGAAGAUGCGGACUACCUGCACCAGGACAGAAAGACCCUAUGAAGCUUUACUGUAACUUGAGAUUGAAAUUGGAUUUUAUUCGCGCAGUAUAGGUGGGAGGCAUUGAAAAUAUUCUUGCGGGAAUAUUGGAGCCAUCAGUGAGAUACCACUCUUGUAAUGUUAGAUUUCUAACUUUGUAUCAUUAUCUGGUCAAAGAACAGUUUCAGGCGGGCAGUUUGACUGGGGCGGUCGCCUCCUAAAUGGUAACGGAGGCGCACAAAGGUUUCCUCUGAACGGGUAGAAAUCGUAUCUAGAGUGUAAAGGCAUAAGGAAGCUUGACUGUGAGACCUACAAGUCGAGCAGGGACGAAAGUCGGUCUUAGUGAUCUGACGGUGCUGAGUGGAAAGGCCGUCACUCAACGGAUAAAAGUUACUCUAGGAUAACAGGCUGAUCUCCCCCAAGAGCUCACAUCGACGGGGAGGUUUGGCACCUCGAUGUCGGCUCAUCGCAUCCUGGGGCGGUAGUACGUCCCAAGGGUUGGGCUGUUCGCCCAUGAAAGCGGUACGCGAGCUGGGUUCAGAACGUCGUGAGACAGUUCGGUCCAUAUCCGGUGUAGGCGUUAGAAUAUUGAGAGGAGCCUUCUUUAGUACGAGAGGACCGAGAAGGACAUACCUCUGGUGUACCAGUUAUCGUGCCAACGGUAAACGCUGGGUAGCCAUGUAUGGAGUGGAUAACCGCUGAAAGCAUCUAAGUGGGAAGCCCACCUCAAGAUAAG
rnacentral:rRNA from 1 species